UACGAAGGGGGCUAGCGUUGUUCGGAAUUACUGGGCGUAAAGCGCACGUAGGCGGAUCGAUCAGUCAGGGGUGAAAUCCCAGAGCUCAACUCUGGAACUGCCUUUGAUACUGUCGAUCUGGAGUAUGGAAGAGGUGAGUGGAAUUCCGAGUGUAGAGGUGAAAUUCGUAGAUAUUCGGAGGAACACCAGUGGCGAAGGCGGCUCACUGGUCCAUUACUGACGCUGAGGUGCGGAAGCGUGGGGAGCAAACAGG
rnacentral:rRNA from 1 species